UGUACAUAAACAACGACCACUCGGCGUUUGUUCAGUAUCGUAAAGAUAGCACAGAGAACAAACUAUUGUUCUGACCAACUAACAGUGUAACAGUUGAUAAGGAAUAAAACACUAGGAGUUAUGCCGCCCCCACCACCACACCACGGGCCUCCCCAUUGGGGUCCUCCCCACCACGGGCCUCCACAUCACGGUCCACCCCACCAUGGUCCACCCCAUCAUGGUCCACCGCACCAUGGUCCACCUCACCAUGGUCCACCGCACAUCCAUGGGCCACCACAUCACGGCCCACCACACCACCGCUAACUGCAAAUUGAAUGGACUAGUAUUGAUAAUGAACAAGAGUUUACAAAGAAGAUCUGACUGAAAUGUGUUUAAAAUUGGUGAUUAUACAUAUAAAUAAUUUAGUUGCUUGUUCAAGUGCACAAAGUAAAAUUUAACUCAUUAUUACAUGCUUAUUUCAUUUUACGACGAUUCCUGUCCUGCCUAUGACGCACUUAUUUAAAGUGAAUCAUUCACAAAAAAUUAAUUCCACGGUAGAGCGGAUUAAAAGUAAAUUGUAAAAUAUAUAGAAUCUUUAUUUAUUAUUCUGGUUGAAUGUAUAAAUUAUAAUCCUGUUAUUUAAAAUUUCUAUUUUAUGGUUCCUUGUUUAGUUUGUCAAAUAAAAAGGUCUGGUUUAAAUGCUUUAUUCUUUUGGAUUAUUUCCCUUAGAAACCAACUAAGUUAAGUUUUGGAUCAACUAUAAUAAUAAUAAUCUAAUCUAGAGUACUGAAUUUUGAAGUUUUCAUCUUUAUUAGGUCCUUAUAGAAAUUGAUAAGCGCCUAUACCUGAAAACAAACUUUGCAAUUAAUCACAUACACAUACUUCGUCCGUAUAUCGAUCAAUCUUAUCAGUUUCGUAAAAAAGGUUGAUAAUACUGAAAUCUGGCAUUCUGUAACUUGUGAAUGUAGCACUAAGGUUUCAUUUUCGGUAAUGUCGUUAUCUCAGAGAAGGGGAAUAAUUAUAGAUUAUAGCAAAGGUUGAUAAACAAGGUCCACUCGAUAAUUGUUUAGUGUUUGAAAGAUUGUACAGAGAACUGGUUUUGGUAUUCACUAUUCACCAACAAAAAGUGUAGAAGUUGAUAAGAAAUAUAAACAAGGAGUUAUGCCGCCCCCACACGUGCAGCCACCUUGCGGGCCAUACUGCCAAGGUCAUCACGGGCCACCCCACCAUUGUCCACCUCACCAUGGCCCACCACACCAUGGGCCACCACACCAUGGUCCACCACACCAUGGGCCACCACACCAUGGGCCACCACACCAUGGGCCACCACACCAUGGGCCUCCCCACCAUGGGCCACCUCAUCAUGGGCCACCUCAUCAUGGGCCACCACACCACCAUCAUCCUCCCCCUCCACCACACCACCAUCCUCACCCACCCCCACCGCAUCAUCCACCAGGCUACGUAGAACACCCUCCCCUGCCGAACCCUGGCUUCCACCCUGUCAAACCUUACUAGUACUGCAAAUGCAAUGGACAAUGGAUGGACAACAACGAAGAACAAAUGGCAAAACACAAGAAAAGUUCACUGAAGUUGCUAGAAGAAUCGAACAUGGUGCUUAAAAUUGUGAUGUAAUUACUCGUACAUUUUGUAUUUAAAACAAGACCUAUUAUGUGUUUCUGAUAUCAAACAAUACAGUUAUUGCUUUUA